rnacentral:lncRNA from 1 species
GGACUGUCCAUGUUCAUGGGAACUGAGAGCCAACCGAGAGCCAGGAAGAUCGGGCAAACCACUCUUCCACUGACCGCAGCACCAUGCAUGGUCCAUAGAGAGAGACACAUGCUGACGAGGGAGAUUUAAGAAGGCAUGGAAGGCCUGAUUCGAUGAUGAAUGGCAAGCCGCUACCCCGCUGAAAUGUCAAGUAUCUGGAAAGCUUGUCUUUAUGGUUUUUUUUUUCUACCAGACAAGAAAUAAAUGCAAGAAAAUUGAGGAAAAUAAGUUUGCUCAUGCAGAGUUCAAGCCGAUUUUACAACUGUAAGUCAAGAAUAGCAUCAUUUUUCAUCUGUGAAAUCAGACAGUCUCCCAGUAUAAAAAUCUCUGUCACUAUCUCUCACAAAUGCAAAGCAGGAAGAAACAUCUAUAACAGAGCAUGCCCUCUGUGACAGACUCCUGAUCCCCUUCUCUUCUGCCUCGGUGGAGUAGCUAUGUUCUCCUGAUCGCGAAUGAGCAGAAAGCGCUUUAUCAUCUUUUGUCUUGUUUUCAUCCUGCCCUGAAGAAGAAAAGAGACAAGAUAAAGGAAGUGGCUGCAGCUACCCGACGAUGCUCCGUUGACUCCUGUAAAAAUAACUGUUUCCAGGUCAAUACAUCUCUACUCUCCCUCCAUAAAAGAGAAGGAGCUGUAAAUAACACGGUGUGGAGACAUGUGUGGUACCCACCUGACCCAGUGUUGUCUUCGAAAUGCAUUCUGCCGAGUUCCUACUUCGGCUCCUCAUGAAGCCAAGUCGUCAUUAACACCUACAUGGUCUGAAAACACAAACCACGAGAAGCAAGAGCUAUCAAGUGUACAUAGAUCUGGGGGGCAAGGGGAGGACAAGGUAUUGGCUUAGUGUGUGAGGUUCUGAGCCCGUGGGUCUGUUUGUACUAUGUCCUGAGUCUAAGGUCCUGUAACUGUACCUUCCUGUCCUGAGUCAUUUGUAUCUCUUGGCUUUGUAAUAAACGCUGCACACAAAAAAGAAAAAAAG